rnacentral:rRNA from 1 species
UACAGAGGCCUCGAGCGUUAGGCGGAAUCACUGGGCUUAAAGCGUGUGUAGGCGGACUUCUAAGUACCUUGUGAAAUCCCACGGCUUACCCGUGGAACGGCUGGGUAUACUGGUUGUCUUGAGCCACUUAGGGGCUACCGGAACAAAUGGUGGAGCGGUGAAAUGCGUAGAUAUCGUUUGGAACGCCAAUGGUGAAAACAGGUUGCUGGGGAUAUGCUGACGCUGAGACACGAAAGCCAGGGGAGCAAACGGG